rnacentral:ncRNA from 1 species
CCCUCCGGUUCUCCGCCGGUGCUCUUGACUGAGUGUCGGCGGCGGCCGGAAACGUUUACUUUGAAAAAAUUAGAGUGUUCAAAGCAGGCUCUCGAGCCUGGAUAAUGGUGCAUGGAAUAAUGGAAUAGGACCUCGGUUCUAUUUUGUUGGUUUUCGGAGCGCGAGGUAAUGAUUAAGAGGGACAGACGGGGGCAUUCGUACUGUGCCGUUAGAGGUGAAAUUCUUGGAUCGGCGCAAGACGAACGACUGCGAAAGCAUUUGCCAAGAAUGUUUUCUUUAAUCAAGAGCGAAAGUCAGAGGUUCGAAGACGAUCAGAUACCGUCCUAGUUCUGACUAUAAACGAUGCCAACUAGCGAUCGGGGGGCGUUACAUUGACGACCCCUCCGGCAGCUUACGGGAAACCAAAGUCUUUGGGUUCCGGGGGAAGUAUGGUUGCAAAGCUGAAACUUAAAGGAAUUGACGGAAGGGCACCACCAGGAGUGGAGCCUGCGGCUUAAUUUGACUCAACACGGGAAAUCUCACCCGGCCCGGACACAGUGAGGAUUGACAGAUUGAGAGCUCUUUCUUGAUUCUGUGGGUGGUGGUGCAUGGCCGUUCUUAGUUGGUGGAGCGAUUUGUCUGGUUAAUUCCGAUAACGAACGAGACUCUGGCUUGCUAAAUAGUUACGCGACCAUCCCGGUCGGCGUUUAACUUCUU